UUCAUUUGUCCAAGGAAAGAUUGUUUGCACUCCCCUUGAUAAGAAUGGAAGGGGUGCUAGUGGGCUUAUAACACACACAUGAUUAAGGUAUUGCCAUCUACUUAGUGGCAUCUAACCAUGUUUUUCU